GAGAACAUGGAAGUUGAGGAUGCACCAUUGGAUGAUUGAAACAUUAAUCCACUGUUGUUAUUUGUAGAAGAAACUGUGGAUGCUGCAAAAGUAAUAGGCGCACUGAUAGUAGUAGCAGUGGCAGACGAGGAUCCUCCAAAUACAAAAGGUGCACUGUUAGUAGUAGCAGUGGCAGACGAGGAUCCUCCAAAUACAAAAGGUGCACUGUUAGUAGUAGCAGUAGCAGUCGAGGAUCCUCCAAAUACAAAAGGCACACUGUUAGUGCUAGUAGUAGCAGCAGUGGAGGAUCCUCCGGAUACAAUAGGUGCACUGUUAGUAGCAGGAGCAGCGGAGGAUGAUACAUAAGAAAACCCAGUUGACGAAGAUGUAGAGUUGAAAGCGGUAGCAAAUACAGAAGAU
rnacentral:lncRNA from 1 species